rnacentral:rRNA from 1 species
GAUGAACGCUGGCGGCGUGCUUAACACAUGCAAGUCGAACGUGAGAGGGUACUUGUAUCCUUGAAAGUGGCGGACGGGUGAGUAAGACGUAGGUGACCUGCCUUGAAGUGGGGGAUAACCAUUGGAAACGAUGGCUAAUACCGCAUAAGCUGGUGAUGAUGGGAAUCGUUAUCAGGAAAGCUUUAGUGCUUUGAGAGGGGCCUACGGCCGAUUAGCUAGUUGGUGAGGUAAAGGCUCACCAAGGCGAUGAUCGGUAGCUGGUCUGAGAGGACGAUCAGCCACACGGGAACUGAGACACGGUCCCGACUCCUACGGGGGGCAGCAGUGAGGAAUAUUCGGCAAUGGGGGCAACCCUGACCGAGCAACGCCGCGUGGAGGAUGACGGUUUUCGGAUUGUAAACUCCUUUUCUCAGGGAAGAGCGAGGACGGUACCUGGGGAAUAAGUCACGGCUAACUACGUG